AACGAACGCUGGCGGCAUGCCUAACACAUGCAAGUCGAACGAGACCUUCGGGUCUAGUGGCGCACGGGUGCGUAACACGUGGGAAUCUGCCCUUCGGUUCGGAAUAACACAGAGAAAUUUGUGCUAAUACCGGAUGAUGACUUCGGUCCAAAGAUUUAUCGCCGAGGGAUGAGCCCGCGUAGGAUUAGGUAGUUGGUGGGGUAAUGGCCUACCAAGCCGACGAUCCUUAGCUGGUCUGAGAGGAUGAUCAGCCACACUGGGACUGAGACACGGCCCAGACUCCUACGGGAGGCAGCAGUGGGGAAUAUUGGACAAUGGGCGCAAGCCUGAUCCAGCAAUGCCGCGUGAGUGAUGAAGGCCUUAGGGUUGUAAAGCUCUUUUACCAGGGAUGAUAAUGACAGUACCUGGAGAAUAAGCUCCGGCUAACUCCGUG
rnacentral:rRNA from 1 species